rnacentral:lncRNA from 1 species
GGUCCAUUUGCAUGCUUUCUGGCAUUUCUGACAUUCCAGGGAAAUGACGUGGCAGCCGCCUGGGCUCAGUGAAUGCAGGAGAGAUCAGAACUGCAGCUGGGGUGCUACAGGACUAAUAGAGCCAAGGACACUGGCAGGAGGGAGGCCACUGCCCCUUGUUGCCACCUCACCAGUACAGGAUCUCACUAUGUAGUACCUGGAUGUCCUGGAAUACACAAGAUUUUUUUAUCAAAGGUGAGGGAGGAGGAGCAAGACCAAGAGACUCUUGGUUCUUAGCCUACAGCUUGGGAAGUCCGAAAGAACAGUACCAGCAUCUGUUCAGCCUUUUGUGGGGAUCCUGUAACCCUCAACUCGUG